AUACGGAAGGUCCGGGCGUUAUCCGGAUUUAUUGGGUUUAAAGGGAGCGCAGGCGGAGAUGCAAGCGUGACGUCAAAUUUCGGGGCUCAACCCCGUCUCGCGUCGCGAACUGCGUCCCUUGGUUGCGGGAAGGGGAGGCGGAACUCGUGGGGUAGCGGUGAAAUGCAUAGAUAUCACGAAGAACUCCGAUCGCGAAGGCAGCCUUCCGGCCCGUCAACGACGCUCAUGCUCGAAGGUGCGGGUAUCAAACAGGAUUAGAUACCCUGGUAGUCCGCACAGUAAACGAUGGACACCCGCGGUUUGGCCUGUAUGGCUGAGCCGCCAAGCGAAAGCGUUAAGUGUCUCACCUGGGGAGUACGCCGGCAACGGUGAAACUCAAAUGAUUUGACGGGG
rnacentral:rRNA from 1 species